rnacentral:rRNA from 1 species
GUGGGGAAUAUUGGACAAUGGGCGAAAGCCUGAUCCAGCAAUGCCGCGUGUGUGAAGAAGGUCUUCGGAUUGUAAAGCACUUUCGACGGGGACGAUGAUGACGGUACCCGUAGAAGAAGCCCCGGCUAACUUCGUGCCAGCAG